rnacentral:snRNA from 1 species
GCUCCCUUUGGCAGCCAAUAUACUAAAACUGGAAUAAUACAGAGAAGAUUAGUCAGGCCCCCGUGCAAGGAUGGCAUGCUAAUUCACGAAGCACUCCUUACUUUA